ACUCCUACGGGAGGCAGCAGUGGGGAAUAUUGGACAAUGGGCGCAAGCCUGAUCCAGCCAUACCGCGUGGGUGAAGAAGGCCUUCGGGUUGUAAAGCCCUUUUGUUGGGAAAGAAAUCCAGCUGGUUAAUACCCGGUUGGGAUGACGGUACCCAAAGAAUAAGCACCGGCUAACUUCGUGCCAGCAGCCGCGGUAAUACGAAGGGUGCAAGCGUUACUCGGAAUUACUGGGCGUAAAGCGUGCGUAGGUGGUUGUUUAAGUCUGUUGUGAAAGCCCUGGGCUCAACCUGGGAACUGCAGUGGAAACUGGACGACUAGAGUGUGGUAGAGGGUAGCGGAAUUCCUGGUGUARCAGUGAAAUGCGUAGAGAUCAGGAGGAACAUCCAUGGCGAAGGCAGCUACCUGGACCAACACUGACACUGAGGCACGAAAGCGUGGGGAGCAAACAGGAUUAGAUACCCUGGUAGUCCACGCCCUAAACGAUGCGAACUGGAUGUUGGGUGCAAUUUGGCACGCAGUAUCGAAGCUAACGCGUUAAGUUCGCCGCCUGGGGAGUACGGUCGCAAGACUGAAACUCAAAGGAAUUGACGG
rnacentral:rRNA from 1 species